GGUUAAGCGACUAAGCGUACACGGUGGAUGCCCUGGCAGUCAGAGGCGAUGAAGGACGUGCUAAUCUGCGAUAAGCGUCGGUAAGGUGAUAUGAACCGUUAUAACCGGCGAUUUCCGAAUGGGGAAACCCAGUGUGAUCCGUCACACUAUCAUUACGUGAAUACAUAGCGUAAUGAAGCGAACCGGGGAACUGAAACAUCUAAGUACCCCGAGGAAAAGAAAUCAACCGAGAUUCCCCCAGUAGCGGCGAGCGAACGGGGAGCAGCCCAGAGUCUGAAUCAGCUUGUGUGUUAGUGGAACGGUCUGGAAAGUCCGACGGUACAGGGUGAUAGUCCCGUACACCAAAAUGCACAGGUUGUGAACUCGAAGAGUAGGGCGGGACACGUGGUAUCCUGUCUGAAUAUGGGGGGACCAUCCUCCAAGGCUAAAUACUCCUGACUGACCGAUAGUGAACCAGUACCGUGAGGGAAAGGCGAAAAGAACCCCGGCGAGGGGAGUGAAAAAGAACCUGAAACCGUGUACGUACAAGCAGUGGGAGCCUCUUUAUGGGGUGACUGCGUACCUUUUGUAUAAUGGGUCAGCGACUUAUAUUCUGUAGCAAGGUUAACCGUAUAGGGGAGCCGAAGGGAAACCGAGUCUUAACUGGGCGUUAAGUUGCAGGGUAUAGACCCGAAACCCGGUGAUCUAGCCAUGGGCAGGUUGAAGGUUGGGUAACACUAACUGGAGGACCGAACCGACUAAUGUUGAAAAAUUAGCGGAUGACUUGUGGCUGGGGGUGAAAGGCCAAUCAAACCGGGAGAUAGCUGGUUCUCCCCGAAAGCUAUUUAGGUAGCGCCUCGUGAACUCAUCUUCGGGGGUAGAGCACUGUUUCGGCUAGGGGUCAUCCCGACUUACCAACCCGAUGCAAACUGCGAAUACCGAAGAAUGUUAUCACGGGAGACACACGGCGGGUGCUAACGUCCGUCGUGAAGAGGGAAACAACCCAGACCGCCAGCUAAGGUCCCAAAGUCAUGGUUAAGUGGGAAACGAUGUGGGAAGGCACAGACAGCCAGGAUGUUGGCUUAGAAGCAGCCAUCAUUUAAAGAAAGCGUAAUAGCUCACUGGUCGAGUCGGCCUGCGCGGAAGAUGUAACGGGGCUAAACCAUGCACCGAAGCUGCGGCAGCGACACUAUGUGUUGUUGGGUAGGGGAGCGUUCUGUAAGCCGUUGAAGGUGUAUCGUGAGGUAUGCUGGAGGUAUCAGAAGUGCGAAUGCUGACAUAAGUAACGAUAAUGCGGGUGAAAAACCCGCACGCCGGAAGACCAAGGGUUCCUGUCCAACGUUAAUCGGGGCAGGGUGAGUCGACCCCUAAGGCGAGGCCGAAAGGCGUAGUCGAUGGGAAACAGGUUAAUAUUCCUGUACUUGGUGUUACUGCGAAGGGGGACGGAGAAGGCUAUGUUAGCCGGGCGACGGUUGUCCCGGUUUAAGCAUGUAGGCGGAGGUUCCAGGUAAAUCCGGUACCUUUUUAACGCUGAGGUGUGAUGACGAGGCACUACGGUGCUGAAGUAACAAAUGCCCUGCUUCCAGGAAAAGCCUCUAAGCAUCAGGUAACACGAAAUCGUACCCCAAACCGACACAGGUGGUCAGGUAGAGAAUACCAAGGCGCUUGAGAGAACUCGGGUGAAGGAACUAGGCAAAAUGGUGCCGUAACUUCGGGAGAAGGCACGCUGAUAUGUAGGUGAAGUGAUUUACUCAUGGAGCUGAAAUCAGUCGAAGAUACCAGCUGGCUGCAACUGUUUAUUAAAAACACAGCACUGUGCAAACACGAAAGUGGACGUAUACGGUGUGACGCCUGCCCGGUGCCGGAAGGUUAAUUGAUGGGGUUAUCCGUAAGGAGAAGCUCUUGAUCGAAGCCCCGGUAAACGGCGGCCGUAACUAUAACGGUCCUAAGGUAGCGAAAUUCCUUGUCGGGUAAGUUCCGACCUGCACGAAUGGCGUAAUGAUGGCCAGGCUGUCUCCACCCGAGACUCAGUGAAAUUGAACUCGCUGUGAAGAUGCAGUGUACCCGCGGCAAGACGGAAAGACCCCGUGAACCUUUACUAUAGCUUGACACUGAACACUGGUCCUUGAUGUGUAGGAUAGGUGGGAGGCUUUGAAGUGUGGACGCCAGUCUGCAUGGAGCCAUCCUUGAAAUACCACCCUUUAAUGGCUGGUGUUCUAACGUGGACCCGUUACCCGGGUUGCGGACAGUGUCUGGUGGGUAGUUUGACUGGGGCGGUCUCCUCCUAAAGAGUAACGGAGGAGCACGAAGGUUAGCUAAUCCUGGUCGGACAUCAGGAGGUUAGUGCAAAGGCAUAAGCUAGCUUGACUGCGAGAGUGACGGCUCGAGCAGGUGCGAAAGCAGGUCUUAGUGAUCCGGUGGUUCUGAAUGGAAGGGCCAUCGCUCAACGGAUAAAAGGUACUCCGGGGAUAACAGGCUGAUACCGCCCAAGAGUUCAUAUCGACGGCGGUGUUUGGCACCUCGAUGUCGGCUCAUCACAUCCUGGGGCUGAAGUAGGUCCCAAGGGUAUGGCUGUUCGCCAUUUAAAGUGGUACGCGAGCUGGGUUUAGAACGUCGUGAGACAGUUCGGUCCCUAUCUGCCGUGGGCGCUGGAGAAUUGAGGGGGCUGCUCCUAGUACGAGAGGACCGGAGUGGACGCAUCACUGGUGUUCGGGUUGUCAUGCCAAUGGCAUUGCCCGGUAGCUAAAUGCGGAAGAGAUAAGUGCUGAAAGCAUCUAAGCACGAAACUUGCCCCGAGAUGAGUUCUCCCUGAGACUUUAAGUCUCCUGAAGGAACGUUAAAGACGAUGACGUUGAUAGGUCGGGUGUGUAAGUGUAGCGAUACAUUGAGCUAACCGAUACUAAUGAACCGUGAGGCUUAACCUU
rnacentral:rRNA from 1 species